rnacentral:rRNA from 1 species
GGUCAGCAAUGUCAGUGGCGGACGGGUGAGUAACACGUAGGAAUCUAUCCUUGAAUGGGGGACAACCGUGGGAAACUACGGCUAAUACCGCAUGAUGCCUGAGGGCCAAAGACGUAAGUCGUUUGAGGAGGAGCCUGCGUCUGAUUAGCUUGUUGGUGGGGUAAAGGCCUACCAAGGCGACGAUCAGUAGCUGGUCUGAGAGGAUGAUCAGCCACAUUGGGACUGAGACACGGCCCAAACUCCUACGGGAGGCAGCAGUGGGGAAUAUUGGACAAUGGGCGCAAGCCUGAUCCAGCAAUGCCGCGUGGGUGAAGAAGGUCUUCGGAUUGUAAAGCCCUUUUGGCAGGGACGAUGAUGACGGUACCUGCAGAAUAAGCCCCGGCUAACUUCGUGCCAGCAGCCGCGGUAAUACGAAGGGGGCUAGCGUUGCUCGGAAUGACUGGCCGUAAAGGGCGCGUAGGCGCC